rnacentral:rRNA from 1 species
GAUGAACGCUGGCGGCGUGCCUAAUACAUGCAAGUCGAGCGAACGGACGAGAAGCUUGCUUCUCUGAUGUUAGCGGCGGACGGGUGAGUAACACGUGGAUAACCUACCUAUAAGACUGGGAUAACUUCGGGAAACCGGAGCUAAUACCGGAUAAUAUUUUGAACCGCAUGGUUCAAAAGUGAAAGACGGUCUUGCUGUCACUUAUAGAUGGAUCCGCGCUGCAUUAGCUAGUUGGUAAGGUAACGGCUUACCAAGGCAACGAUGCAUAGCCGACCUGAGAGGGUGAUCGGCCACACUGGAACUGAGACACGGUCCAGACUCCUACGGGAGGCAGCAGUAGGGAAUCUUCCGCAAUGGGCGAAAGCCUGACGGAGCAACGCCGCGUGAGUGAUGAAGGUCUUCGGAUCGUAAAGCUCUGUUAUUAGGGAAGAACAUAUGUGUAAGUAACUGUGCACAUCUUGACGGUACCUAAACAGAAAGCCACGGCUAACUACGUG